rnacentral:rRNA from 1 species
UGGCGGCACGCUUACACAUGCCAGUCGAACGAGAAACCCGAGCUUGCUCGGGUGGACAGUGGCAGACGGCUUAGUAACGCGUGGGUAUCUACCUAGAGGUUUGGAACAACUAUUGGAAACGAUAGAUAAUACCAAAUAUUCCCUUCGGGGGAAAGAUUUAUCGCCUUUAGAUGAGCCCGCGUCGGAUUAGCUUGUUGGUAGGGUAAAGGCCUACCAAGGCUACGAUCCGUAGCUGGUCUGAGAGGAUGAUCAGCAAGAUUGGGACUGAGACACGGCCCAGACUCCUACGGGAGGCAGCAGUGGG